rnacentral:rRNA from 1 species
GAGUUUGAUCUUGGCUCAGAGCGAACGCUGGCGGCAGGCCUAACACAUGCAAGUCGAACGAACUCUUCGGAGUUAGUGGCGGACGGGUGAGUAACACGUGGGAACGUGCCUUUAGGUUCGGAAUAACUCAGGGAAACUUGUGCUAAUACCGAAUGUGCCCUUCGGGGGAAGAUUUAUCGCCUUUAGAGCGGCCCGCGUCUGAUUAGCUAGUUGGUGAGGUAAAGGCUCACCAAGGCGACGAUCAGUAGCUGGUCUGAGAGGAUGACCAGCCACAUUGGGACUGAGACACGGCCCAAACUCCUACGGGAGGCAGCAGUGGGGAAUCUUGCGCAAUGGGCGAAAGCCUGACGCAGCCAUGCCGCGUGUAUGAUGAAGGUCUUAGGAUUGUAAAAUACUUUCACCGGUGAAGAUAAUGACUGUAGCCGGAGAAGAAGCCCCGGCUAACUUCGUGCCAGCCGCCGCCGUAAC